CAUUGGCGAAGGCGAAGAGGCCCUCAGCAACCAGGAUGGGAUGGAAGGCGUCCCAGUUCUUCCUCUCUGUGUCUGGAUCAUUUUUGAACUGCAGAUCAAGGAAAAACUGUCUUAAAGGCGGAAACUUGUGUCAGGAACAUUUCAGUGCUUUGAAAUCCUAAACCACAGAUAGUUUUAGCACAAAUAAUAAAUCCGUCUUGGGGCAACAUUGAUCUUAUAAACAGGACAACGUGGAUCUUUGGCACCCCUUGAAAAUGUGCAAGGAGCCUGUGUAGAAAAAUAAAAAAAUUUUAUUUGACUAUACUUAACUCAGUUGGGAAAAAAAAAUUUCAACAAAAAACCAGAAAAAAUAGCAACACUUUGCUUUUGAUUAGGGUAUAUUGAUUUUUUUUUUUCAACAAUCCAAUAUUUUUUGUUUUAGAGGGAAUCCAUGAUAUCACACAGAGACAUAUUCCUGUUAGCCACUGGCUUGGAUGAGGACCCAUAAUUUUCUCCCACACACAGUGAGGAGAAUAAUAAGGGAGAGAAAAAAGAUUACCAUUAGUUAACUCUUUUCUCAGAAAUAUUACAACUAUUGAUGACAUCCUUGUAAAGUUGUCGUCUGCUUAGAGCUCUUUAACUGGUUGGCUACAUCCAGUCUCCACUCUCCUCCCUUCCUGGUCCAUUAAGGAAACAUAAAUAAUCUACUGUGUCAAUGAGUGCUGUUGCUUUGCACAGAUCUGUUCAUGAUGAAUGGUACUGCUGUUUGCUUCCACUUGGUGGCAGUCUCAAAAAUAAACAGAGCAAAAUAACCGUGAUGCGGGCAAUUCUUGUUAAUGUGGGUGAUGUUGGUGGUGACCCUUUUACUUAACCUAAUUGUUUAAUUUAAUAUGAAUGUUUUUUAUUAAAAA